GGGCGGUUAGCUCAGCUGGCAGAGCACCUCGGUCACAUCGAGGGGGUCGCAAGUUCGAAUCUUGCACCGCCCA
rnacentral:tRNA from 1 species